rnacentral:ncRNA from 2 species
UAUAACUAACGAGGAUGGGUGAGAUUCCCUACCGGUGGUAAAAGUCCACAAAUCCAUUUGGAUUGAUCUGAUGCAAUGCAGAACCGACAGUAAAGUCUGGAAGGGAGUUAGGUUAU